CUUCCCCGCAGCCCAACUCCUCUCUCGCUAGCCACCUCUCUCCCCCACGCAACUCCUUGCCCCCGCCGCCGCCGCUCGAUUCCAGCAACUUCCGGUCGCUAUUGCCGGUGUGCAGCACACCCUAAACUUCUACUCGGUCCGCUCCAUCCUCCCGUCCGUCUAGAUUAACCGCUCCCGGUCGCCAACGCUCGCCCGCAAUCCCUCGUCGUGGUUAGGGUUUCGGUGACGGCGCUGCUCCGACGGAUCCUCUCCGUCGCCUACCGCCCUGCUGGAUGGCGCUCAUGGUACAGGAAGUCGCGAAGGCCCUCCUCCUCCCGCAAGAUGUGCUGGCACAGCGCACCUACAUCGGCAUGCUCGACACGAGCGCGGGCGCGACGACCUCGUCCCACUCGAAGAUGGUGGCGGCGAACGUCGGUGCAGUUCUCUACGCGCGCCGAUGCAGCUCACACACCCUCCUCCUGAACCCCGUCCACGUCCACCCAUCCGGUGAUGAAGUAUUAUGUAGAACAGAGGAGAAGGGGCACAAUCAUCCCAGCUUGUUCGCAAACAGGCUCAUUUCAUUAGUUUUGCAAAGAUGUUAUCAUGGCUGAAACUUGGGCAAAACUAUGGGCAUACGAAAUACAUAUUUGUUUUUGUUGCCUUAUAAACAUGGUUGUGAACGGACUGAAUAUUGGCAAACAGCUAUAUAUCCAUUCUCACUUACUUUGUUGUUUCUGAAAGUGAAAGGGACAAAGGAUAGCGCAGAGAGCAGAUAACACAUGGGGUUUGCCAGUUAGUUCGUGUUACUAUCGACCAAGGCUUUUUAGCAGGAAUUACUUGGGUCUGAAAAGCUUCCUGGAAGUGGUGGUCUAGUGUUCGAGAUUAAAAUCAUGUAGUAGUGCAGUUUCAAUGAUGUUAUGUUACUUGAUUUUUAUUAAAUGCUUAUGCUUAUGGCACCUUGUAAAUAUGCUUGUAAUGUUUCGAUAUUAAUUUUGCUUUUUGAAAUCAGACCGGAUUGUUGGGAAUUUGUAUUGUCUUGUUGAAUGAAUAUAAUUGCAUGUCUUGUUGUAAA